GUGUUUCCUUGCAGAGGCCAUGAGGUCUGGAAGGCAGGAAUCAAUUCUCCCACAUGGAGGCAUGCUCCCGGGCGUAGAGGACAAUGUCUCGCAUGAAGCGGGCACUAAGUAAACACUCAUGGAGUGAUUGAUGGGCUGUUUGAGAGAAAUGUGCUCGUGAGAGUCUGGGGCACAUCUGGAAAGAGCUGAGAGAGGAUUUUCAGGAGGAGCAGGCAGCACAGAACUUGCUGCAGGAGCCUGCCAAAGGCUUUGUGCUGCCUGGUUUUUCCUCCCUUGAUCCUGGUGUCAGUUUCAGAAAGACUUAAGUGGAUCCUGCAUCAGGAGGGAGCAGACACCGGAGAAAGAAAAACAAGUUGUGCUGUUUGAGGAAGCAAGUUGGACCUGCACUCCAGCCUGUGGAGAUGAACCUAGGACUGUGAUUCUGCUAUCCAGUAUGUUGGCUGACCACAGGGUGGAAAACUGCAGACCCCACCCAGUGGCAGCAGAGGAGGGAGGUUAAUCUAAGGACUGAGAUGAAGCCAGGCUGGGCUGGAAUGAAGGAAAACUGGUUUCAAGAAGAAAACAAGGCUGGGUAUGGUGGCUCAUGCCUGUAAUCCCAGCACUUUGGGAGGCCAAGGCAGGAGGUUCACUUGAGCCCAGGAGCUUGACACCAGCCUGGGCAACAUAAGGAGACCUCAUCUCUACUAAAAAUAAAAAUAAUAGCUGGGUGUGGUGAUACACACUUGUAGUCCCAGCUACUUGAGAGACUGGGGUGGGAAGAUUGCUUGAACUGGGGAGACUACAGUGAGCUGUGAUCACACCACUGCACUAUAGCCUGGGUGACAGAGCAAGACCCUGUCUCAGAAGAAGGAGAAGGAGAAGGAGAAGAAAAUAAAAUGUUAAAAGGAACUUAGAAUGUAGAGGUCUAGCCGUAGUAAUUUUAUACUAUAACCGUAGAGGAUACUAACAUGGUUGAGGGUGUGUGGAGAGACUUUAUUCUCUGACUGUAAUGCCAUAAAAUUAGUAAUUACUAAUGAAGAAAUAGCUUUAAAAAAGCCUACCUGCCUGAAAAGAAUACCUGUUUAAACAGACACACACAUGGGAAAAUACAAAAUAGUGAUGAACAAUAAUGAAAGCACAAUGGGUUGAAAUUUGAGAGACAUAGCUUAGAAUAAUACAUUUAUUACCCAACAAGAAAGGCUGAAAACAAACUAGCCAAGCAUUCAAUUCAGGUAUUUAGAAAAAGAGCAACAGAGUUACCUGAUGCAAAUAAUAUAAAAUGAAAUCAUAAAGAUGAGGACAUAAUGAAAUAGAGAAUAGUAAUGACAGAGAUAAUUAACAAAACUAAAAGCUUGUUCUCUGAAAAACAAACCUCUGGCAAAAAUGAGCAAGAAUAGAUGACAUGCAAACAAAAUGAAGGAUUCAAAAUGGGAAACAUUUGCCUAAGUAAUUGAUAAAUAUCAAAAGAAUUCUAUGAUCUAGAAAGCAAAAAUUUUGAAAACCUACAUAGAAUUUUUAGUUGGAUGAAAUUUUGAGUUGGAUGCAUUAUUUCUAAACAUAUUACACAAAAAUAAAAAAUGUUAACAGAACUAUAGCUGCUAAAGGAAUUAAAGAGUAAUCAAAACCAUGCCCUAUCCUCCCUUUUUUAAGGCCCAGAUCCACACAGUUUUACAGGCUAGUUUCACCAAACUUUAAUGGAAUCAAAAAUCUCUAUCUUAUACAAGCUGUUUCAGAAAAUAGAAAAAGGGAAAACUCUGCCUGACUUAUUUUUAUAAUGCUAGUAUAUCCUUGAUUCCAAAAUCAGAUAAGAACAGUAUAAUAAAAGAAAAUCAUAAUCUAUUUCAUUUGGAUUUCCUAUUUAAAUACUAACUCACUAAAUCCAAGAGUGUAUUUAAAAAUGCAAAGAUCACUCAAAAUUGUAAAAUCUCUCAAAGUAAAUUGCCAUAAGUGGAAAUAAAAGCUUUUGUAAAAUUUGAUAAAAUCUAUAUACCAAGAUUUUACUGUGAAUAUAUAUAUUAACAGACAAACUAUUAAUUAAUUUGAGAUUUGGAAAAAGAUGAAGUACCUCUGAAACACUGUUACUUUUCAAUAUACUACUAGAGAUCCUGGCCAAUGCCAUAAUACAUGAAAAAAAAAUAAGAAGAAUAAAGGUAGAGAGAAAAGGGACAAAAAGUCAUUUGCAGACAUAGAAAUCCAACAGAAUCAAGAGACAAACCACUAGAACUAAUGAGAUGUCAACAAAUUUAUUGGAUACAAAGCCAACUUACAAAAAUCAACAGUUUUCUUUUUUAAACUAGCAUAUAGAAUAGGAAAAAAAUACUAUUUUCAGAGGCAAAAAAAAAUUGUGAAGUACCUAGGAAAGUGUCCAACAAAGAAUGUGCAAGUUCUUUAAGGACAAAAAUUUUAAACUCUGUUAAAGAUUAUAAGACUUAAACAGAGAGGUAGAGUGUGUAUGUAAUGUAAUUCUAAAAAUAUAAGUUCUCCACAAAUUAAUCCAUAAAUUCAAUAAAAAUUCAAUAAGAAUUAAGGUAAAAUUUUGGCACUGGCAUAACAAAGUGAUUCUAAAAUGUGUAUGAAAUAAUAAAUUUCAAAAAAGAGAAAACAUUCACCCUAACAUCUACUGUAGACAUCCUACAAACUCCACACUAAUUCAAUGAAUCUGCUGCUGGUACAGGAUGAUUAAGGUGAAUGCAACAGAACAGAGGGUGCAGAAAUAAACUCGUGGCUAUAUGUCAUUUUAUAUGAGACAGGUGGCACUCAUCAGUGGAGAAAGGAUGGCUUAUAUAGGUGAUAUUUGGGGAACUGGUUUACUAUUGGAGAAAAAUUAUUCAGAUCUCUAUCUUCUACCAUAUACAAACAUAAUCUCCAAAUAUAGACCUAAAUGUGAAAGGCAAAUUUAUGAUAUUGAAAAAAUGAAGGAGCUUGUGUGUGCACAUGUGUGAUUUGGGGGUAUAAAAGAUUUUUCACACAUUAUUCAAAUAGCAUGAAUCAUAAGGGACAAAAUGGUUGCGUGCAACCACACUAAAAAUUUCUGUUUAAUAAAAGACACCAUACACCAAGAUGACAGAUUGAUCGUAGGUUUGAAGAUACAUGCAACUUUUAAAACUAACAAGGAUAUUUCUAGAAUAUACCAGGGACUACCACAAAUCAAGAAGGAAAAGGCAUGAAAAAAUUAGACAAGAUAUUAACUCACAAGAGGCUAACUAAUGUACAAACAGAUGCUUAACUUCACUAGUGAUCAAAGACACACAAAACAAAAGAAGAUGCCACUUUCCACCCAUCAGAUUAGCAGCCAGUGGGAGGUAAGAUAUUAUCAAGCAUUGAUAAGGCUGUGGGGAGUGAGAGCUUUCAAGACUGUUAGUGGUGAUAGCAACAGGAGACAGACAAAUUCCUGGGCAGACAGAGACAGGUCCCUGGUGAAACUCCACCUUCAAGCCAAGAACACUCUAAACCCUGAAAACUGAGCUACAGUUCCGGAUAGAAUCCAUGAACCUGAAUGAGAACUUCCAUCCCCAUUUUACCUACUCUCUCUCAAUUGGUUCUUUCUAAAUGAUGCCUCUUAACCAAUUGAAUGGUGCCUUUUCCAAGACUAUUUUGCAUAUGCCCACUUUCUCCUGAUUGGCUCUUUUCACAAACUAAUUGAAGGGUGUCUUUUCCAGUCCUACUCAUAAACCAAUCAGCAUGCAUUUCCCCAUUCUAAGCCCAUAUAAACCCUAGACUCAGCCUCUCAGCCAGCUACCCACUUUUGGGUCCCUUUUUGCUGUCAAGGGCUUUUCUUUUGCUCAAUAAAUUCUACCCUGCCUUACCCCAUGAUAUGGUUUGGCUGUGUCCCCACCCAAAUCUCAUCUUGAAUUGUAGUUCCCACAGUUCCUACAUGUCAUAGGAGGGACCUGAUGAAAGGUAAGGGGAUGAUGGUGGUGGGUCUUUCCUGUGCUGUUCUCAUGAUAGUGAGUAAGUCUCAUGAGAUCUGAUGGAUUUAUAGAGUAGUUCCUUUGCACAGUUACCCACCACCAUUUAAGAAGUCCCUUUGCUCUUCCUUUGUCUUUCAUCAUGAUUGUGAGACCUCCCCAGCCAUGUGGAACUGCGAGUCCACUGACCCUCUUUUUCUUCAUAAAUUACUCAGUCUUGGAUAUGUCUUUAUUAGCAGUGUGAGAAUGGACUAAUUAUAAUACACCCCCUCUCCAGUACCUUAUUACUCUUGGUCAUGAGACAAGGACCCAGAACUCACUGAACUGUGAUAAUAAAAGAGCUGUGACACUCCUGUCAGCUGAACUACCAGAAUGAAAAAAGCUGCAACAGGGGGACUGUUGUAAAUUGUACAUCCUGGAGUGCAGUCUGGCAUUUUCUAUAAAGUAAUUUACAUGCUCUGUAAUUCAGCAGUUCCACUGCUUGGUAUAUGUCCCAGAUAAAUUCACAGACAAUUAUAAGAAGAAACAUGAGCAAGGAUGCCCAUUUCAGCAUUGUUUGUUGUAGCAGAGAGCUGUCUAACCAACACAUCUUUCAUCAGGGGAAUAGGGAAGUAACAAUAAUGUUAACUAAGGUGUUUUUUCCUCUGCACUUUUUAUGUGCCAAGUGCUUCUCGAAGCUCUUCAGAUACAUCCAGUCCAAAACUCAUUUAAUCGUCAUAACCACCCUGUGAUGUAGGCACUAGUACCAUCCCAUUUUAUAUAUUAGGAACCUGAGGUACAGAGCACUUAAGUAAUUUGCCAAAGACAACACAGCUAGUAAGAGACAGAGUGGGAUACGGUGGGGUGCAUACAGUGAAAUAUUCUGCAGUAGUCAGAAACCAUGAAUCAGAUUUAGUGACAAGAUCUUCAAAAAGGUAGUGUUGAAUGAAAAAGUGAGAUAUAUAACCCAAUAUCACUCUUAUUAAAUAAAAGCACAUACAUUCUCAAAAAUGUUAGGUAUUCUUCAGUGAAAGGACAUUUGAGUGGGUCCCUGUGGGUAGGAGUGGGAAGGGGAGAUGAAGGGAAAAAUGAUGGGGCUUGCACACAACUGUGAGAUCAUCUGCCAUGACCCAGAGAGGAGAAAGCUGAGCUUUCUGAAUUGGAGGUUCAGUUGUUAAGAAGGAAACCACCAUCAUUAAAAUCUUUUGGGACUGUUGAGUAACCCAGAGUAAGGUUGCUCAGAAAAGAGAGAAGGCUAACACUGAGGUGCUCCCGAGAGGCUCCUACAUUGACCCCAUUCUCUGAGGGUUACUAGGCACAAGCAAGAAAAGAUAGUAGGGAAAUGCAGAUUUUAUCAAUUCCCAUUCACUGUUAUAUAUCCACAUGCACAGAAUUAAAAGCAGGCCAACAUUCUUCAUGCUAUCUAAAAAAGGUUUCUGGGCCACCUUUCCUCACUGCUAUUUCCUAGACAUGCUAAUUUCAACAUAACCUUAAGCAACAUAAAAUCAGGGAGCAAAAGCUAUUUAAACACACAUACCAUAAAAUGGCACUCUGUCCAGAUACCCUACAGAUUCUUCAGUCUUUUCCCUCUCACAAUGGGAGACGGUUGAUAUAGCAAGUUACAGAAGGAGCUUCCCAGAAAAAGAAGCUGAGGGCAGGGGUUAUUUCCAGACACUGGUGCCCAGAAGCCACUGAUCAGGAUGUGUGUUCAGGGGACGUGUGUGUUGUGGGGGACGGUGAACAUGGAUGAAGCCCCAUUUUUUAAAAAACUCAGAUCCCAGCUGAGACUCCCACAGGGUGCAAGGGUUUACAUGAGGCCAUGAUUAAAAGGCAGGACUGACUGGGGGGGCUCAGGAGGAAAUGUUCCCAACAGGGUGCUUGACUACUGUAGCCCAGUGGAAUUCUUCACUUUCAGGCCAGGCAAAGGUCAUGAGGCAGAGGCAUCUCUGGAGAAGUUUGCUUUGCUUUGCUCUUUAAGCACUGCAGAAAGAGCAUUGGAUUGGGGAAUAGAAGACUUUCUUGUCUUUACUCUGCCUGUUCCCAGCUGUUUGAGUCUCUGCUAUUAAACAGGAAAAAUUAGGCCAGUCCUGCCUACUCAAGGGAAGGGGGGAUAGGUUGUGAGGUUCAUGAAGUUAAACGUGCAUAAAUGCUUUUAAAUCUGUCAAGUGCCAUAUGGCUGUAGAAAUGACAAUGUCAUGUGCUUUGAUCUGCGCCUUCUCUGAACCACACAGGCUUGUGAGUCCUUUCCUAGUCCUAGGAUGGGAGUUAAGCUUGAUGUAUUUCAUCUGCAGGAAAAUGAAGGAUUGGUCCUGGAUGACACCCUGCAUCCGCAAAGAAACUGAGGCCCAAUAUCCAAUUUAUUCCUCCUUAGGAGGAAUGAUUUUGGGGGUUAGGGGAGGAUGGCAUGUGUUCAGAAUGGAGAGUUCACACCUGUGAUGAGGUUGGGUGAAGGCUUGGCCUCAGUUGCCCUGUGACUUUGCGUGAAUGUUACUGGGUGCCUCAGGCUCUGCUCACCUACUUAUAAAAUAAGUAAAAAUAUCCCCCUCCCCAUCCUGACUGUGUGAAGAUGGUUAGGAUCCAGUUACACACUGAGUUCAUCUAAGUCCUGGAGAAAGAUUCAGCUUUUCUUGUUGCGCAUCUCCAUCACCUUCAUCUUUGGCACUCACUUGCUUUUAAAACGCCUUAAUACAGUAACCACAGAAACAGUGGGUGACUUUCAAGUCCAUGCCUUGGAAAGUCAAAAGUUCUCCAUCUUUUCACUGCCCAGCAGCCCCAAGUGAGCCAGGCGCUGAGCUACUGUGAUAAAAUUUUGGUUUCAUCCCUCAGAACCUGGGUCACCAUUUGCUUUCUUCUUCUUUUUUUGUUUUUGAAUGAGCUACUAUUGUCAGAAUGCAGGAGAUGUCUGUUAAUAAACUAAAGAUUUCAUGCCACCAGUGAUUUUUC
rnacentral:lncRNA from 10 species